CAGUAGCCACGGUAAUACGUAGGGUGCAAGCGUUAAUCGGAAUUACUGGGCGUAAAGCGUGCGCAGGCGGUUUGUUAAGACAGAUGUGAAAUCCCCGGGCUUAACCUGGGAACUGCAUUUGUGACUGGCAAGCUAGAGUAUGGCAGAGGGGGGUGGAAUUCCGCGUGUAGCAGUGAAAUGCGUAGAUAUGCGGAGGAACACCGAUGGCGAAGGCAGCCCCCUGGGCCAAUACUGACGCUCAUGCACGAAAGCUAGGGGAGCAAACAGGAUUAGAUACCCCAGUAGUCCCUGUCUCUUAUAC
rnacentral:rRNA from 1 species